rnacentral:rRNA from 1 species
UUUAUGGAGAGUUUGAUCCUGGCUCAGAGUGAACGCUGGCGGCGUGCCUAAUACAUGCAAGUCGAACGAUGAAGCUCUAGCUUGCUAGAGUGGAUUAGUGGCGCACGGGUGAGUAAUGCAUAGAUAACAUGCCCUUUAGUCUAGGAUAGCCAUUGGAAACGAUGAUUAAUACUGGAUACUCCUUACGAGGGAAAGUUUUUCGCUAAAGGAUUGGUCUAUGUCCUAUCAGCUUGUUGGUGAGGUAAUGGCUCACCAAGGCUAUGACGGGUAUCCGGCCUGAGAGGGUGAACGGACACACUGGAACUGAGACACGGUCCAGACUCCUACGGGAGGCAGCAGUAGGGAAUAUUGCUCAAUGGGGGAAACCCUGAAGCAGCAACGCCGCGUGGAGGAUGAAGGUUUUCGGAUUGUAAACUCCUUUUGUUAGAGAAGAUAAUGACGGUAUCUAACGAAUAAGCACCGGCUAACUCCGUGCCAGCAGCCGCGGUAAUACGGAGGGUGCAAGCGUUACUCGGAAUCACUGGGCGUAAAGAGCGCGUAGGCGGGAUAGCAAGUCAGAUGUGAAAUCCUAUGGCUUAACCAUAGAACUGCAUUUGAAACUGUUAUUCUAGAGUAUGGGAGAGGUAGGUGGAAUUCUUGGUGUAGGGGUAAAAUCCGUAGAGAUCAAGAGGAAUACUCAUUGCGAAGGCGACCUGCUAGAACAUAACUGACGCUGAUGCGCGAAAGCGUGGGGAGCAAACAGGAUUAGAUACCCUGGUAGUCCACGCCCUAAACGAUGAAUGCUAGUUGUUGUGGAGCUUGUCUCUGCAGUAAUGCAGCUAACGCAUUAAGCAUUCCGCCUGGGGAGUACGGUCGCAAGAUUAAAACUCAAAGGAAUAGACGGGGACCCGCACAAGCGGUGGAGCAUGUGGUUUAAUUCGAAGAUACACGAAGAACCUUACCUAGGCUUGACAUUGAUAGAAUCCGCUAGAGAUAGUGGAGUGCUAGCUUGCUAGAACUUGAAAACAGGUGCUGCACGGCUGUCGUCAGCUCGUGUCGUGAGAUGUUGGGUUAAGUCCCGCAACGAGCGCAACCCUCGUCCUUAGUUGCUAGCAGUUCGGCUGAGCACUCUAAGGAGACUGCCUUCGUAAGGAGGAGGAAGGUGAGGACGACGUCAAGUCAUCAUGGCCCUUACGCCUAGGGCUACACACGUGCUACAAUGGGGCGCACAAAGAGGAGCAAUAUCGCGAGGUGGAGCAAAUCUCAAAAACGUCUCUCAGUUCGGAUUGUAGUCUGCAACUCGACUACAUGAAGCUGGAAUCGCUAGUAAUCGUGAAUCAGCCAUGUCACGGUGAAUACGUUCCCGGGUCUUGUACUCACCGCCCGUCACACCAUGGGAGUUGUAUUCGCCUUAAGUCGGGAUACUAAAUUGGUUACCGCCCACGGCGGAUGCAGCGACUGGGGUGAAGUCGUAACAAGGUAACCGUAGGUGAACCUGCGGUUGGAUCACCUCCUUUCUA